rnacentral:rRNA from 1 species
AGGAUGAAGGUCUUUGGAUUGUAAACUCCUGUCAGGCAGGGAAAAAGGGAGGCGACCUCAUACGUCGUUGACUUGAUUGUACCUGCAGAGGAAGCCCCGGCUAACUCUGUGCCAGCAGCCGCGGUAAUACAGAGGGGGCAAGCGUUAUUCGGAAUUAUUGGGCGUAAAGGGCGCGUAGGCGGCUUUGCAAGUGGACGGGUGAAAUCCCUCGGCUUAACCGAGGAACUGCCUGCCAGACUGUGAGGCUCGAGACCGGGAGAGGUGAGUGGAAUUCCCAGUGUAGCGGUGAAAUGCGUAGAUAUUGGGAGGAACACCAGUGGCGAAGGCGGCUCACUGGACCGGAACUGACGCUGAGGCGCGAAAGCGUGGGGAGCAAACAGGAUUAGAUACCCUGGUAGUCCACGCCGUAAACGAUGAGUGCUUGGUGUAGCGGGUAUCGACCCCUGCUGUGCCGACGUCAACACAUUAAGCACUCCGCCUGGGGAGUACGGUCGCAAGACUG